GAUAAUGACUUAGACCCCCUGGAGUGGAAACCCAUUAAAUGGAGCCGCUUCCAGCUUUUGGAUAUCUCCAGUAUCAUCAAUCUGUGUACUGGGAAUUUUGAACUGAAACUCAGGAGAGAAAUCGUUUUCUGUACCUGUCAUAGAGUGCGUUCCCCUGAAGCCAACACUGAGACAGAGAUGAACACACAGGAAGUUAAGCGAGAAGUGCUCUUGGAAUCAGAACCUGGAAAGGAGAGAGAAGGGUAUGGAACUGGGCAGAGGAAGAAGCUGGGCUACCACGCAGUCUCAACAGUGACCUCAGCCAGCCUCAUGAGGAGCUCUGAGGCAGCGGCCCUUUUGUUGUGGUGAAAGGAGCCAGGCCUCUAUACUCCUGAAUCAACCAGUCAUUGGCUAAGGUUGUCCCUGGAAAGGAGCAAGACCUUGGACCAGGCCCUGGCCAGGAAUCAGACCAAGCAGCAAGCAAGCACAGGACCCCACCGAUGCUACCCUACCCAGAAGGCUGUCUCCAGCCCUGCUCCCCAGCCAGAGUCCUGCAGGGGAAUGAUUUUCACUGUAUUUCCUCUGAGAGCCCUGACCCUACGGGGGCCUGAAAGGAGCCACACUCCAGCCAA